rnacentral:rRNA from 1 species
UACGAAGGGUGCAAGCGUUAAUCGGAAUUCCUGGGCGUAAAGGGUGCGUAGGCGGUUCGUUAAGUCUGUCGUGAAAUCCCCGGGCUCAACCUGGGAAUGGCGAUGGAUACUGGCGAGCUAGAGUGUGUCAGAGGAUGGUGGAAUUCCCGGUGUAGCGGUGAAAUGCGUAGAGAUCGGGAGGAACAUCAGUGGCGAAGGCGGCCAUCUGGGACAACACUGACGCUAAAGCACGAAAGCGUGGGGAGCAAACAGG